GACGUAGGGCGCGAGCGUUGUCCGGAUUUAUUGGGCGUAAAGAGCUCGUAGGCGGCUUGUCGCGUUGUCCGUGAAAACUCACAACUCAAUUGUGGGCGUGCGGGCGAUACGGGCAGACUGGAGUACUGCAGGGGAGACUGGAAUUCCUGGUGUAGCGGUGGAAUGCGCAGAUAUCAGGAGGAACACCGGUGGCGAAGGCGGGUCUCUGGGCAGUAACUGACGCUGAGGAGCGAAAGCGUGGGGAGCGAACAGG
rnacentral:rRNA from 1 species